GACGAACGCUGGCGGCGUGCCUAAUACAUGCAAGUAGAACGCACAGUUUAUACCGUAGCUUGCUACACCAUAGACUGUGAGUUGCGAACGGGUGGGUAACGCGUAGGUAACCUGCCUGGUAGCGGGGGAUAACUAUUGGAAACGAUAGCUAAUACCGCAUAAUAUUGAUUAUUGCAUGAUAAUUGAUUGAAAGAUGCUAUUGCAUCACUACCAGAUGGACCUGCGUUGUAUUAGCUAGUAGGUGAGGUAACGGCUCACCUAGGCGACGAUACAUAGCCGACCUGAGAGGGUGAUCGGCCACACUGGGACUGAGACACGGCCCAGACUCCUACGGGAGGCAGCAGUAGGGAAUCUUCGGCAAUGGACGAAAGUCUGACCGAGCAACGCCGCGUGAGUGAAGAAGGUUUUCGGAUCGUAAAGCUCUGUUGUAAGAGAAGAACGGGUGUGAGAGUGGAAAGUUCACACUGUGACGGUAUCUUACCAGAAAGGGACGGCUAACUACGUG
rnacentral:rRNA from 1 species